rnacentral:sRNA from 1 species
AUUUACCAGAUUUUUAAAUCAUGUCACCUGGUAUUUUAUCUUUACACACAUGCUUUCAAGUGAAAAUUCCAGUGCAUUAUUUUCCUCAAGAGAAAGCAGUGGCAGAUACUACUUUCUAAUUUUUUUAUAUGUCACUCAAGCCAUUGGAAGCUUCAUAGGUAAAGCAUAACUUAAAUAUAAGUUUAUUCUAACUAAUCCCAAUAUGUGGCCUCAAAACAUAAGUCCAUAAAUGUCAUUUCUAAGAUUAUUUUACAUAAAUACUCAAAUUUGUUGUCAUUUUUGUAGCCAAAGCUAAGUAGAGGAUGGGGCCUGUGAAUUUAGAACCAUCCUAGUGAUAAAUAUCAAAUAUUUAGAUAAAAACCUAAAUAUUUACCCCUCUAGCUUUAUGGAGCCAUUAAAUAAUAACAUUUUUCUCCUUCUCUUCAUAGAUUUUAUAGACAAAACUAGAAAAUUCAGGUAUUUGGUAUAUACUUUUUUGUUUUUUUUGAUACCAUCUUGGUCUUGUCACCCAGGCUGUAGUGCAGUGGCACAAUCACCACUCAUCGUAGCCUCAACUUCCCAGGCUCAAGUGAUCCUCCCACCUCAGCCUCCCAAGUAGACAGAACUGUAGGCUUGCACCACCAUGUCUGGCUUUUUUUUUUUUUUUUUUUUUUUUUUUUUUUCAUAGAGCUGGAUAUCUCACCCUUUUGCUAGGGCUGAUGUUGAAUUUUUGGGCUCAAGCAAUUCUCCUGCCUCAGCCUCCCAAACUGCUGUGAUUACAGGUGUGAACCUGUGCUCCCGGCCCAUUUGAUAGAUAAAAGCCCAGAAGGACAGUUCACUCAGCUGAUGACAUUGCCCAAAACCUUACAGCAACAGAUAAAUCAUAUUAUGGACCCUCCUGGAAAAAACAGAGAUGUGGAAGAAACUUUAUUCCAAGUGGCUCAUGAUCCCGACUGUGGAGAUGUGGUGCGACUAGGUACGUUCAUGAAUUUGAUGCUGAGGAAGUGCCAGCCAUGGGGAAAAGCAGACUUUGUUUGCGAUUGGAAUGUAUUAUUUCUUCCUUUUUGUUUAGCGAGAUAGAGAGAUUGCCUCUCAGAAGAAGAAAGCGCUAAAAAUUUGAGGGUUUUCUAAAUCUGCAUUUUUACUUGUUUGAAGUAAGAUGGUGAAAAUACUUCUGUUUUUAAAUUCCUGGAUCCUAAAUUACUGUCAAAGGGAGAAACAAUGUUUCUUUUGGUUCCUAGAGCACAGCUUCUAGAAUUUAUUUAAAAGAUGUGUCUGUGUUUUGUGGUGGUCUGAGAAAAGAGAUUGGUGGCAUUUUUUUGUGCUUUUAUAACAUCGAGAACACAGCUUUCCUCAAUCAACUCCAUUUGAUGUGUCUCAUACAGUGUUGAGUACAUUCCCUCAGACAUGGCCCACGUUCCACAGCGUUUUCCCCAGCACUGCCCUGAUGUUUAUCCAAAACUCUGAACCCAGGCCAGGUGCAGUGGCUCACGCCUGUACUCCCAACACUUUAGGAAGUCCAGGAGGGAGAAUCACUUGAGGCCAGGAGUUUGAGACCAGCUUGGGCAACAGAGCAAGACCCUGUCUCUGCAAAAAUUAAAAAAGUAGCUGGGCAUGGUGGCACAUGCCUAUAAUCUCAGCUAACUUGGGAGUCUGAGGUGGGAGGAUCGCUUGAGCAGUUGGAGGCCGCAAUGAGCUAGGAUCGCACCACUACACUCCAGGCUUGGUGAUAGAGCAGCCCGUAUCUCUUAAAAAACAAACAAAAAAAAGAGCCUGAACCUUAUCUUCAGAGACUAACUUCCCUUUAAGGUGCUAAAGGUAAUUUAUGAGAUCAGUCAAUCAAGAAAUAUUUAUGAAAUUGAGAAUGAGUCCCUCUGUCAAUUGAGUGCAUUCUCCUGUUUUCAUUCAGUAAAUAUUUACUGAGCUCCUCCGGGUGCCAGAUAGAAUUCCCAGUAAUGCUUUGCAAAGACCAUCACACUGCAGUGGAUGAGCUGCCGCAGGCGCUCCACUCCCACUCUCCUCCUGGGCCUGCCCUAGGUUUGCAGAGUGUGUGUUUAGCUCACCAGCUCCCCAUCCUGAAGAUAGCUCUGUACGAGGCACACUGUUGUUUGUUUGAACAUGAUCCUGGCAACAGUGUGAUCUGGGCUGUCUCUUUGAGGGGAGUGAAACUUGUUCCUCACUGUGGAAUCCGUAUGUGUGUUUUCAGAAUGAAAGUUUUUCUCGUAGAUGUAAUCAUUUGGUUUUUAUCUUUUCAUGUUAUGGAAUUGAGAACCAGAAAUCUCAAGCAGAUUUAAGUCAUAAAAUGCCCUUUGAGGGUCAGCUAACCCAUCCCCUUGUUUUAAGGGGAAGAGGCACAGAGCUGUUCGGUCAUCGGCUUGGACUCACACAGCCGGGUGGCGCCACGGCUGGCUGCUCUGGUCUCCUGGCCCUCAGUCCCACUGCCGUUUUCAUUGUCACUGUGACAGCAGGACAGAGAUAGAUUUGGUGGUUUGAUUGGCUGACUAGAAAGAAUAUUUAGUUUCAAGUUUUAAAACUGUUAAGAUGACUAACAUCUGUUUUGGGUUUUUUUGGUCUCCUUUUUGGUUUUUUUCUCACAGGGCUUUCAGCAAUCGUGAGACCGUCUAGUAUAAGACAGAGCACGAAAGGCAUUUUUACUGCUGGCCUGAAGAAGUCAGUGAUUUAUAGUUCACUAAAACUGCACAAAAUGUGGAAAGGGUGGCUGAGGAAAACAUCCUGAUUUUGCUUGCUUUUAUAUAUGUUAUGUGUAGAUGAAUAAAGUGUUUGAUCCUUUUUG